GAUGAACGCUAGCGGCAGGCUUAAUACAUGCAAGUCGUGGGGCAGCGGGGGUAGCAAUACCUGCCGGCGACCGGCAAACGGGUGCGGAACACGUACGCAACCUUCCUUUAACUGGAGAAUAGCCCCUCGAAAGAGGGAUUAAUACUCCGUAACAUCCCGAUAUGGCAUCAUAACGGGAUUAUAGCUCCGGCGGUUAAAGAUGGGCGUGCGCCUGAUUAGAUAGUUGGCGGGGUAACGGCCCACCAAGCUGCGAUCAGUAACUGGUGUGAGAGCACGACCAGUCACACGGGCACUGAGACACGGGCCCGACUCCUACGGGAGGCAGCAGUAAGGAUAUUGGUCAAUGGACGCAAGUCUGAACCAGCCAUGCCGCGUGGAGGAUUAAGGCCCUCUGGGUUGUAACUCUUUAUCUGGGAAGAAUCCACGAAUUUCUUUUGUGGUUGACGGUACCAGAGGAAUAAGCACCGGCUAACUCCGUGCCAGCCG
rnacentral:rRNA from 1 species